rnacentral:lncRNA from 1 species
AAGCGUGUGCGCACGCGCUCCCAGCUGGUUCACUCCUGGCGCUCCCAGGGCAGGAAAAUCGAAGACCCAAACUGGCGCCUGCGCACUUGGUCUCCGCCGCUGCUGUGGUCUUGCGCCCCGCCCCCGUCCCCCCACCUCCCCCCAGGCUCGCGCUCAGCGGCGGCGGUGUUGGUGCCGCCGGGAGCGGACGGACCCGAGGUGAAGGUGGGGGGCUGGGGUCCACCGCCCGCGGCCGAGUCCCCGCGCCUCUCCUACCCUCCCCGCGCCCCCCGUGUGGCCCCCACUGCUAACAGUCGCGCGGCCAAACGCGGCCCACGGGCAGGGCGCGGAAGGGGAGUAGACGCGAGGCUGGGGACGAGCGGGGGGGGGGGGGGGCGGCGAGGGAGGGGCGCGCCCACCACCCCUCCUGGCCUACAGCGACCCCGCCUACAUCGCGGGACGGGGACCCUCGGAGUAGCCUCUGUCUGCCUCCAACCCAGGACCCGGCCCCCUGAGUUCUGAGUCCACCAGCUCUUAACGCCUCUGUGAUCAGAAUCAGACCUCUUCACCUGUCCAAGCCCCAGCUUCCUCAUCGGCAAGCUGGCUAUGAAGAGGUGGGUCUGCGUCAUUCUCCCAGGUUUGUAGCGACCAGGAUGGGUGAAAACGUGUGUUUUGUCAGUUUGCUGGGAUGAUUUCUUCCGGAGGUGCAGAAGGUGGUCGGGUCUUGAGACCCGGUUUUUCCUGGGAAAAGUUGACCUCCUCUGUCCCCAGCUUGGGAAACUGUUACCCCAGUGAGGGUGGCGGUUGUCCCAAGACCUUAUCCCACCCCAGCCUUGCCCUGGGAGGAAAGGGUAGGGGCCUCAGGAAUGUGGUGCUCGCUGCCAAGAGACACGCCAGAUUUACAUACACCUGAGGCCUCCUGUGUGCUUAACAACGCCCCAGAACUCCGUCCCCCAGCUCCAAGGUCAUAAAUACCCUUGGGUGGGCAGGGUCUGACGUGGGAACCUGGGUAGCACCAGGGGCAGCCCCACUCCCACUACCCUUAGCCCUUCGUUCUUGGUUCUCUGCUAGGUGACUGGGGAGAGCAGGGCUGUCUGGGCUCUCUUCUUGGCCACGCUGAACGCCUUGAAGGGCCCUAGCCCUGACACUGCCCCUAAGGGUGUCCUGAGCCCUGGUGACAGGCAGGCAAGGGUUAAGAGGUAUGGGCUGGCCCAGUCCCUGGCCAGGUAGGCUGGGCUAUUGCCUAGUGGGAGGCGGCCUAGGCAUCUGCCACUGGCUCACUGCUCACUGCCACUACCAGCUGGAACAGGGCCUGGUUGAGACAACUAUUUUAUCGAGGUACUUGAGGCCACCCCACAGCACCUCUCUGGCGUUGGUGAGCACCUGGGAACAGGGGACCCAGGGGCAGGGUAGGGGAAGAAGGGUCUAGGGUGUACUGAGGCCCCCUGUGGGAGAAAGCCAAGUCUGUGCAAGAGGUACAGCGAAGAAGGAGGGCCCGAGUAGAAGAGCAAAGCCCAAAAUG